ACGAACGCUGGCGGCGUGCUUAACCCAUGCAAGUCGAACGGAAAGGCCCUGCUUUUGUGGGGUGCUCGAGUGGCGAACGGGUGAGUAACACGUGAGUAACCUGCCCUUGACUUUGGGAUAACUUCCGGAAACUGGGGCUAAUACCGGAUAGGAGCUCCUGCUGCAUGGUGGGGGUUGGAAAGUUUCGGCGGUUGGGGAUGGACUCGCGGCUUAUCAGCUUGUUGGUGGGGUAGUGGCUUACCAAGGCUUUGACGGGUAGCCGGCCUUGGAGGGUGACCGGCCACAUUGGGACUGAGAUACGGCCCAGACUCCUACGGGAGGCAGCAGUGGGGAAUAUUGCACAAUGGGCGGAAGCCUGAUGCAGCAACGCCGCGGGCGGGAUGACGGCCUUCGGGUUGUAAACCGCUUUCGCCUGUGACGAAGCGUGAGUGACGGUAAUGGGUAAAGAAGCACCGGCUAACUACGUG
rnacentral:rRNA from 1 species